rnacentral:rRNA from 1 species
CCUACGUGUGGCAGCAGUGAGGAAUAUUGGUCAAUGGACGAGAGUCUGAACCAGCCAAGUCGCGUGAAGGAUGACUGCCCUAUGGGUUGUAAACUUCUUUUAUAUGGGAAUAAAACGUUCCACGUGUGGGAUUUUGUAUGUACCAUAUGAAUAAGGCUCGGCUAACUACGUGCCAGCAGCCGCGGUAAUACGGAGGAUCCGAGCGUUAUCCGGAUUUAUUGGGUUUAAAGGGACCGUAGUUGGAUUGUUAAGUCCGUUUGUAAAGUUUGCUGCUCAACCGUAAAAUCGCAGUUUCAACUGGCUGUCUUGAGGACAGUAGCGGUGGGCGGGAAUCGUGGUGUAGCGGUGAAAUGCUU